CAUUAUUCUUUCAGAUUGGAUUUUCUGUGUAUACAUCUGUGACACUCGGCCGCAAGAUUCUGCCCGCAUAGCCACAUUAUCCAUGAUACUGACAGUAAUUGUUAGUGUUAUUUGUACAUGUAAUUACUUGAUGGAUGAGCACAUUAUCUUCAUUUUGUGACCAUAAUAUCUAACUUGGCCAGUCUAGCAGGUUAUUGUUAACUUGGUCUUGGCCAGUACCAG
rnacentral:lncRNA from 1 species